GCAAUUCCACAGCGAUGCUUAUAAAAUAUUCGAUGCAGAGCUGUCACCGGCACCUCUCCUUCUCUCUCUCUCUCUCUCUAUCUCUAUCUCUAUCUCUAUCUCUCUCUCCCCCUCUCUGUUCCUCUCUCUGUCUUGAUAUCCGACCGACGAGGGUGCGUCUGUGGUGGUCAUUACUCAAGAGCCAUCCUCGUUGGUCAUCAUGGCGCGCGAGAGGUACGAUUCUUUCGCGGUGAAACCAAUUGGUUAUUCCACUAGCGGAGAAGGCGCAGAUUGGCGGACACUUUGAAUGGAAAAGCGUGCUUUGAAUAAUCAAAAACGUCGUUCCGCAUUU